GCCAAAAAUCUAGCCCCCUAAACCCAUAAUGAAAACAAAUUAUAAGCCUAUAUUAAUUAAAACAUUUUUAAAAACUUAGUAAAGGAGAUUGAAAAACUACUUAGGAGCUACAAAAUUAGUACCGCAAGGGAAAGAUGAAAUAUAAAUGAAACAAUACUUAAGCACAAAAAAGUAGAGAUUUAAUCUCGUACCUUUUGCAUCAUGGUUUAACUAGUUCAACCAAGCAGAAAGAAUUAAAGUUUGACUUCCCGAAACUAUGCGAGCUACUUCAAGGCAGCUUAUUGAGCUAACCCGUCUCUGUUGCAAAAGAGUGGGAUGACCUUCAAGUAGGGGUGACAGACCUACCGAGCUUAGUGAUAGCUGGUUACUCAAGAAAAGAAUUUAAGUCCAACCUAAAAUUAUACUUAUACUACUAAAUAAAACCCUAAUUUUAGAGCAAUUCAAAUAAGGUACAGCCUAUUUGAAGCAGGAUACAACCUAACCCAAAGGGUAAUAUUAUAAUUUAAUUUAACCAAGUGGGCCUAAAAGCAGCCACCUUUUAAAUAGCGUCAAAGCUUAAUUAUGUCUUUAUAUAAUACCACAAUAACUUCAGAACCCUUCACUACUAUUGAGUAUUUCUAUACUUCUAUAGAACCUUUUAUGUUAAAACUAGUAACAAGAAGAAGAACUUCUCCUACAUGCAAGUGUAUAUCAGCUAGGACAAACCACUGAUAAUUAACGCCUAUGAACAUCUAGUAGUAACACUACAAGAAAACCCUACUUCUUAUUGCGUUAAUCUAACACAAGAACAUGAACAGAAAGAUUAAAAGGAAAAGAAGGAACUCGGCAAAUAUUAACCUCGCCUGUUUACCAAAAACAUCGCCUCUUGACUUAAUAUAAGAGGUCCAGCCUGCCCA
rnacentral:rRNA from 1 species